rnacentral:sRNA from 1 species
UGCCUAAACCCGUAGGAUAAACCCGCGGGCAUGGCACAAAAUCCCUCAACAGGACAAACAGCUCGUCGUCAGAGCACUCUUACUGGAUCAUGUCUCGAAAGAGGCAUGGGUGGUCGCAAGGCCAUC